CAGGCUGGCCGGGCGAUCGCGGUCGCGUGCACUGCACGCGGUCGAGGAAAGUCCGCACUCCAUAGAGCACGGCGUCGGGUAACACCCGGGGCGGGACAACCUGCCGGAUCAGGGCCACAGAAACAGACCGCUGGCCGAUAGCAGAUAGCCGAUAGCGGAUUGUUUGUCAUCUGCCAAAAGCCAUCAGCCAUUUGCCAGUAAUGGUGAAAAGGCGGUGUAAGAGACCACCGGCGCCCGCAGCAAUGCAGGCGGCCAGGCAACCCCCGCCGGGAGCAAGGCCAAGCAGAGACAAAGUCGCCUCCGGGCGGCGGGAGGCUGCUCGUCUCCCUUGAGUCUCGGGUAGGCUGCUAGAGCGGCGCGGUAACGCGCCGCCCAGAGAGAUGAUCGCCCAGGCGGAGAACCGGGAUGAAGCUCUGAGCUUCGGCGAAGAGUGUAAACCGGAACCCCUCCGCUGGACAGGAUGCGGCUUACAGGCCAGCCUGAGGU
rnacentral:RNase_P_RNA from 1 species